CCGCACUGUGGCUGUCACCAAGAGCCAGUUCCUCAUCAAUGGGAAACCUUUCUAUUUCCACGGUGUCAACAAGCAUGAGGAUGCGGACGUGUGUUGGGGCUCCUGGGUCCUUGUCGGGGCUGCUUCUGGUCACCCUCCACUUUCGCCUUCCCUGUGUCCUGCAGUUGAGGGCAGCUCAGGGCAAUGAGGCAAAUGGCUCCAAAUGGAGAGGGGGCUCAUGGGGUGGCUCUCCAGGGUCCUGGCUCUCAGAGGAAGUGCAGCUUCGACAGGGACAGGGGUCACUUGGCUCUGCUAUCUCCUAGAUCCGAGGGAAGGGCUUCGACUGGCCGCUGCUGGUGAAGGACUUCAACCUGCUUCGCUGGCUUGGUGCCAACGCUUUCCGUACCAGCCACUACCCCUAUGCAGAGGAAGUGAUGCAGAUGUGUGACCGCUAUGGGAUUGUGGUCAUCGAUGAGUGUCCCGGCGUGGGCCUGGCGCUGCCGCAGUUCUUCAACAACGUUUCUCUGCAUCACCACAUGC
rnacentral:lncRNA from 1 species